CGCGCGCUUACGUACGCACGCGCUCGUGCUCGUGCCUCCUGCGUGGCGCGUCGGUCGCGCCUCCGAAAUGGGUCUGGAGCUGAGACUGGAACAUAGGCCAUCAGCUCUUCGGAUUCUCAGGCUUUGGAUCUUGGAGUGGAACCAUACCGACUGCUCUCCUGGGUCUUCAGCUUGCUGACUACAAAUCAUGAGACAUCUCAGCCUCCGUGAUCACAUGGUCCACUCCAGCAGCUCUUUUUAACUGCUCCAGAAGGAACAGGAGACUUGGCAAAGCUGGUCAGUCCUCUCUACCUAAAAAUGAGGAGAUCUCAAUCUUCUCUAGAGUCAAACUCAUUUUGGAUCACCAGUAUAUUC